GAUGAAGAACGUAGCGAAAUGCGAUAAGUAAUGUGAAUUGCAGAAUUCAGUGAAUCAUCGCAUCUUUGAACGCACAUUGCGCCCGCCAGUAUUCUGGCGGGCAUGCCUGUCUGAGCGUCAUUUCAACCCUCAUGCCCCUAGGGCGUGGUGUUGGGGAUCGGCCAAAGCCCGCGAGGGACGGCCGGCCCCUAAAUCUAGUGGCGGACCCGUCGUGGCCUCCUCUGCGAAGUAGUGAUAUUCCGCAUCGGAGAGCGACGAGCCCCUGCCGUUAAACCCCCAACUUUCCAAGGUUGACCUCAGAUCAGGUAGGAAUACCCGCUGAACUUAAGCAUAUCAAUAAGCGGAGGA
rnacentral:misc_RNA from 1 species